rnacentral:rRNA from 1 species
UACGGGGGGGGCAAGCGUUGUUCGGAAUUACUGGGCGUAAAGGGCUCGUAGGCGGCCAACUAAGUCAGACGUGAAAUCCCCAGGCUCAACCUGGGAACUGCGUCUGAUACUGGAUGGCUUGAAUUCGGGAGAGGGAUGCAGAAUUCCAGGUGUAGCGGUGAAAUGCGUAGAUAUCUGGAGGAAUACCGGUGGCGAAGGCGGCAUCCUGGACCGACAUUGACGCUGAUGCGCGAAAGCCAGGGGAGCGAACGGG